GGCAGGCAGGUAGGGAAUANUNCACAAUGGAGGAAACUUUGAUGCAGCGGCGCCGCGGGAGUGAUGAAGGCCUUCGGGUAGUAAAAGCUCUGUUGCAGGGGAAUAACACAAUGAAUGUACCCUGUAAGAAAAGGAUCGGCUAACUUCGUGCCAGCAGCCGCGGUAAGACGAGGGAUCCUAGCGUUGUUCGGAAUCAUUGGGCGUAAAGCGGAUGUAGGUGGCUUUGUAAGUCAGGUGUGAAAGCCUGGGGCUCAACCCCAGAAGUGCAUUUGAUACUGCGAAGCUUGAGUGUCGGAGAGGUUACUAGAAUUGUUGGUGUAGUGGUGAAAUACGUAGAUAUCAACAGGAAUACCGGAGGCGAAGGCGGGUAACUGGCCGAACACUGACACUGAGAUCCGAAAGCGUGGGGAUCAAACAGGAUUAGAUACCCUGGUAGUCCACGCCGUAAACGAUGGAUACUUGUUGUUGGAGGUAUUGACCCCUUCAGUGACGAAGCUAACGCGUUAAGUAUCCCGCCUGGGGAGUACGGUCGCAAGAUUAAAACUCAAAGAAAUUGACGGGGGCCCGCACAAGCGGUGGAGCAUGUGGUUUAAUUGGAUGCAACGCGAAGAACCUUACUUAGGCUUGACAUGUAUUCGAAGAUUGGCAGAAAUGUCGUCGCCCGCAAGGGUCGGUACACAGGUUCUGCAUGGCUGUCGUCAGCUCGUCUCGUGAGAUGUCGGGUUACGUCCCGCAACGAGCGCAACCCCUGCAUUUAGUUGCCAGCAUUCAGUUGGGCACUCUAGAUGGACUGCCGGUGUUAACCCGGAGGAAGGUGGGGAUGACGUCAANUCNUCAUGGCCAUUAUGCUUAGGGNUACACACGUGNUACAAUGGUAGUCACAGAGCGAAGCUAAGCCGCGAGGUAGAGCAAAUCGCUUAAAAGCUAUCUAAGUUCAGAUUGAUCUUGCAACUCGAGAUCAUGAAGUUGAAUCGCUAGUAAUCGCGGAUCAGCAGCCG
rnacentral:rRNA from 1 species